GAUCUUUAUCGGAUUCGCUGGCCAUGCGCAAGUUCUGGCUAUUCCGGCAGCAAAUGGUGGACGUACCAGCUCGCCCGACCGGUCGACGGCGGACUGCUGCCAAAUCGACAGACGCAUCAACGCCGGCAUGCCUUAAAAGCAGCUGAAAUAACUGGCGCCUCUUCAGUGGAAAUGGAAUCACUGCAGCCGCCAACAUGCUUCAAACACAUUUUCGUUUUCGGAUGCUGAAAUUAUGCACCGGUGACGCCGC